rnacentral:rRNA from 1 species
UACGUAGGGCGCAAGCGUUGUCCGGAAUUAUUGGGCGUAAAGAGCUCGUAGGUGGCGGGUCACGUCGGGUGUGAAAGCCCGGGGCUUAACCCCGGGUCUGCAUUCGAUACGGGUCUGCUGGGGUCCGGCAGGGGAGACUGGAAUUCCUGGUGUAGCGGUGAAAUGCGCAGAUAUCAGGAGGAACACCGGUGGCGAAGGCGGGUCUCUGGGCCGGUACCGACGCUGAGGAGCGAAAGCGUGGGGAGCGAACAGG